CCGGGGCUCCGUAGCCACGACGGCGGCCAAAACGGUGGACUCCCAGCCUACGAGACCAGGGCGUAAAAGCCAGACUCCAAAAUAUCGAUGUUGAACCACAGAGCUCCGACUGACAGAAAUGCCUUUACGACAUACCAUUGAAGGAUAGUUGACGGAUUUCCCAUCGCUGAAUCGUUCUGCUUCUCGCUUCAUCGCUCACCCCUCUUCUCCCUGCUUCCUCCAGACACAACAAUCAUCCUCCCACUACUCCUUCAGCGUGCCAGUCUGUGUUUCAUCCCAGAAUCUUAUGUUUGCUGUUCCUUCCCCCC